AAGCAGACGAAACGCGAGAGCAGAGUCGAGCGGUGCCAGCCCCGAUCCCCCAGCGCCCCGGAGAGGAGAACCCCGAUCCCCAGCGCUGAGCCCUGUCUCGCUGGAGACCAGAGUCCUGUGGCCCCAGUGACCUGACGCCGGUCCCCAUCCAGCUAGAGGCAGCGGCGGGAACCAUGACCAUCCUCCUGGGACUCUCAGCUCCAGUCCUCAUGGCUGCUUGCCUCCUGAUCCUGUGCCCAGAGGGGGCUCCGACGAGCAUGGGAGGCUCCCUACCCCUUCCCCCGAAGGGCCAGAGCCACUGGCCCUGGCUCCAUGCCCAGGAGAGCAGCCCCUUUGCCUCCUCCACCCCCCAGCACGACUUGGGGACAGACUAUUACAGCUAUGAGGACCCCUCCACCCCGGAUACCCCAGAGAUGCCUGGCUCCCAGAACCCAUCCCAUCAGCCUUGUGUCUACCACCAUUGCCGCCACCUGCAGACAGCCUGUGCAGAGUUGAGCAAGGAUACUGGUUGCCUGUGCCCUGGGGUGACUGGCCCAGAUGUGCCCCCGGAGCCACCCCAGCUGAGGGCAGUGCAUGUCACUGAGUCUGGGGCCAGCCUGCAUUGGUGUGCCCCCUACUCCACAGUGUGGGAGUACCGACUGAUAUACCAGGCUGAUGGGGGCCACACCAUUGCUGGCCCCAUCUUCAACAGCACUUUCCGGAUGGCAGUGCUUGGGGGGCUGCACCCCAGCACCUCCUACCUGGUAUGUGUCAUGGCAGCCAACCAGGCUGGUGCCAGCCCCACUGAUGAUGGGAGUCGGGCCCAUGGACCGUGCCGCACCAUCCGCACCCUGGCCCCCCAACUUCCCUACGCAUAUGUGGCAGCAGGACUGGCGGCCAUGUUCGGCCUGGUGGUGGUGUCCGCGCUGACCUGGCACUUUGCCCUGCGCUCGAGGAGACGGCAGUUCCACGGCUCCCAGGACAACAUCCUGGAUGGGGAGCUCCUCUCAGUUGCAUGGAACAGUGAAUCAUCAUGGUACCCCCCAGCGGCGCUCUUCCCCCCACUUCCUGGACAGUCUGUCUGGACCCAGCUCUGCUGGGGUUUGCGCUCACAGCCGCACCCAGCAGUGUCACCCUUGAACCACUGCCUGGAAAACAUGAUCCAUCCCAGAUGUGUGUGAGAGGGCCCCAGCGCAGAAGGCAAUGGGAAUGAGGAGCAGCCCCCGCCCUCCUCGCUCUGGGGGUUCUUGAGGAACGGCCCAGCUCUGUAUGCUGACUGCUGGGGAAGCCGUGGUGCCCAGGAUGAAUGGGCUGCUCUGGUCCAGGCUGGUUCCGAGCUGUUAUCCCCCCUUCUCCUGCUGGGUCCGGCAUCACCAUGGCUGCCCCAUGCCUCCCAGUGCGGAUCAUCUUCUGGUAAGUGGCAGAGAUACCCCCACUGGUACCCCCUACCCAGGGCACCCCCCACCCAGCACCGCCCCAUGGGCAUUCCUCACCCAGCAUUGCCGCCCAAGGGCACCCCUCACCCAGCUCUGCCCCCCAUGGGCACCCCUCACCCAGCUACACCCCCAUGGGCACACCCCAUACAACUCCACCCCCAUGGGGACCCCUCACUCAGCACCACCCCCAUGGGCACUCCUCACCCAGUAUUGCCCCCCAGGAAACCCCUCACCCAGCUACACCCCCCAUUGGCAUACCCCAUAUAGCUCCACCCCUGUGGGCACCCCUCACCCAGCACCACCCCUGUGGGCACCCCUCACCCAGCUAUACGCCCCAUGGGUACUCCUCAUCCAGCAAUGCCCCCAUGGGCACACCCCAUACAGCUCCACCCCCCAUGGGCACCCCUCACCCAGCAAUGCCCCCAUGGGCACACCCCAUACAGCUCCUCCCCCCAUGGGCACCCCUCGCCCAGCUACACCUCCCCAUGGGUACUCCUCACCCAGCACUGCCCCCAUGGGCACACCCCAUACAGCUCUGCAUCCCCAUGGGCACCCCUUACCUAGGACUGCCCCUUCCUUGGGCACCUCCUACCCACAACUGCCCCCCUAAGGGCACAGCCCACCCUAGGCACUGGGUCCCUCCCUCAGCCUCCCUUCUCACCCUCCCAAUUCUGACACCCCUGGCACUGGGCCUCUGCCCAAGCUUCAGCCUUCCUGCCCACACUGGUUCCCUUUCAGCAUGGGGCUGCUCCACACUGAUGCUGGGCUCUGUUUCCCUUGUAGUGGCAGCUGAGGAUACAGAAGCCGGUUCCUGCAGCUGCAGGAGUUCCUAGAAAAACGCUUCCCAAAGCAGUUGGAGAUUACAGGGGAAAUGGCCCCCGGCUCUGGGGCCUUCGAGAUUCUUCUCCCUGACAGUGGCCAGGUCCUGCACUCCAAGAUCAACGGUGAUGGCUAUGUGGACAGUAACGCCAAGGUGCAGCGCAUCUGUGAAGGCAUCAGCAAGGUCCUGGAACAGUAGCGAGCAGGGAUUGGGGUGCUGUGGUUUCCAGGGCAGCACAUGACGGGAUCAGCCGAAAGGGAGUCACAGCCCAGGCCAGUCCCUGACCUCCCCCCGAUGCUCCAACCCCUGUGGCUAUCGCCAAGCAAUAAAGAGCAACA